rnacentral:rRNA from 1 species
UACGAGGGGAGCAAGCGUUGUUCGGAUUUACUGGGCGUAAAGGGCGCGUAGGCGGCGUGACUAGUCACUUGUGAAAUCUCCGGGCUUAACUCGGAACGGUCAAGUGAUACUGUCGUGCUAGAGUACAGAAGGGGCAACUGGAAUUCUCGGUGUAGCGGUGAAAUGCGUAGAUAUCGAGAGGAACACCUGCGGCGAAGGCGGGUUGCUGGGCUGAUACUGACGCUGAGGCACGAAAGCUAGGGGAGCAAACAGG